UGUGAUUGACUAAACGCAGAUCCGGAAGCUAAUCACCUCACAGAAGUGGAAAGGCCUGACACUGACGGAUAAGGAUGUUGUCACAACACGUUCCUUCCAGAUCGGAGAGGUCAUAUGUGACUAUCACGGAAGUGUAGUUACGGCAGGUGAGGCCCAAAACAUCCAAACUGAAAAGGGUGAAUCUGGAGGCUUGUUCUUCUACAGAAACAGGAAGGGCGAGUCGAUGUGCAUAGACUCCAGCCACUGCGAAUGCCACCCCGACGGGAAGCCGUUCUGUCACCGCAUUUGCCACUCUGGGAAGCAUGCCAAUAUACGUCCCAGGCUGUUUACAGUUCAGGAGGAUGGGAAGGACAAGGACAUUAUCUUGUUUCUGGCAAUCCGAAAGAUCCAGACCAAUGAAGCACUCUACUACGAUUACGGAGACAAGAAGAAGUCCUACAGGGGAGAGGGUCUAGAUCUCAACUGGGAAUAGACCCCCACUUCUGGAACACCAGCAACACACCGUUUAUGAAUAAGAAUGCAAAACUUUUGAGACUUUGAACAGCAAAUCUUUUACUCUCCUUAUGCACAAUGCCAGCGGUUAUGAAUUUGGCGGGCAAAUCUAUGGACACUUUGUACAGAAAAAAUCUUUUUACUUUCCUGAUGAAUAACACCAGUCAUUAUGAAUUUGCGCGGGCAAAUCUAUGGGAAUGAAAAUUUCAAGCAGGAGGUAGAAAACGUUUCCAGAUUUUUCCACUUCACGAACACACAACAGCCGUCCCUGUUGUUUGUGAGGAACAGGAAGAAAUCAAAGCUGUUUAUGCGUGAGCUUACUAAGCUAAUGGAUGAUAGCCAGCAAAGAAAUCGUCCAGAAGCGGCACAUUUUCCAGUACAAAGAUAUCAACCAGCUUCACAAGAAUUAAGUGCACCAUCGUAACCUCUCUGAACUGUACUUCUCUUAGUCUCAGGUCUUCACUUGUCUGGUAUUCAUAAUAGAAAUAAGCUGACACGUUCAUUUAUCCUCUUGCAUUGAGAAGAUGAGCAACUGUGCGAGAUGGGCAGACACAUCCAAACUCUCUCAAAGAAAACACACACAAUCACACACACUGAUCGCCUGGAAAAUAUAAUACAAAAUUAUUUCAAUUAUAUUUCAAGUAUGCAACUGAACAUCUGUAUGUUUAUCAUUGAAUAUUUCAACGUACCUCACUGUUAGAGCUGUCUAUCCCACUAUCUGUCAUUUCCUUGUCGGACAAAUAAAAAUUUGUCCGACAUGCUAUUAAAAUAGCUAUUAAAUAUUUUAAGUCUCCCGCAGACCGUUACGCAUGCACGAGCUGUUUGCGUCACUGAAUGCGUCAUGCAUAGAUGAGACCAUGACGCAUGCACAAGCUGCUUGUAUCACUGAAUGCGUCAUGCAUAGAGCAGAGUUUGAAGAAUGCAAAGGAAAUGCAAAGGCUUUUAGGCUGCCAUAUUUGUUUACAUCGCAAAGCAUUGUGUGAGUUUGAGUGUCGGGAAA